rnacentral:rRNA from 1 species
CAUCUAGGCGGUCAAUCAAGUCGAAGGUGAAAACUUAUGGCUCAACCAUAAGCUUGCCUACGAAACUGAUUAACUAGAGUACUGGAGAGGUGGACGGAACUACACGAGUAGAGGUGAAAUUCGUAGAUAUGUGUAGGAAUGCCGAUGAUGAAGAUAGUUCACUGGACAGAAACUGACGCUGAAGUGCGAAAGCUAGGGGAGCAAACA